AAAGUCGCUCCCAGCUUUCUCCUGCCCGUGCGUGUAACAGGCAGAGAAAGAGAGGAUGUCAUCACGCACUGACGCGUCGGGGCAUCCGCCCUGGUGACGAGCUGCUCCGGGAGGAGGAGCUUCUCACCGGCUCCUGGCUUAACCUGCCUGAACCGGCCGACCCGGAGCCUGACCCCCACGCCGCGCUUCCAGGGGGGGUCAGCCAGCGCAUCCUGUCCGGAACAGCCAGGAGGAGGAGGAGGAGGAGAAACUAGACGCACUGACUUCCUUAUGAUGGUGCCUGUCUUCCUGUCUCUGCCCCUCCCUCCCUGGGUGACACCAUGGCUGGCUAUGCACUGCCCUGCCAGGUUGCCAGGCACAGUCAGAACCCCCGACUGAGGGGAGCAUCACUACACUGAAGCCCAGUGCUUCAGAAGAACUGUCCAACCCAUGCAUGUUUUAUUACACACAUAGCGUAAUCCAAUUCAAACGGAAUGCCGUCACACCUGUCUACGCGCGAGUCGCACGGCAGACUGGGAGAAGGGAGAAGAAACGAGGAAAUAUGCCUGGAAGCAGAUGUAGCGCCUUUCUUCUUCCAGCCCGAACUCCUCGCCCCCCGCUCCUUCCGCGUUCUUUCGCCGUCUCCCUGGUGCUGCUUCCAAGACCGCAGCCCCGAAAGAUUUGGGAGUCAUCAUGCUCAUCAGAGGAGAAAAAAAAAAAAAGGGCCAAGACCUCUGCUUUGCUCUCGAAUUUCCUGAAGUCAGAAGGUUGACCCUUUCAUCCCGGGGGCGGUCCUCUGGCCUUCCAGGGACGACCGCACGUUGAUUAGAACGCGCCGCGUUUGUCUCUAUUCCGCCGGGGCAAGCUGCUGAAGUUUAGGUGCGCGGUGGACGGCCAUCUCGCGGGUCGCUGUGCCGCGUACGAACGCCAGGAAAGGCGCUUUAAAGUCCGACGCAGAUGUUGAUCGCCCCGGGUUGAUCGCUGCCGUUCUUUUGCUUCUUCCUCUUUUUAUCCUGUCUCCUUUCUUUUCUUCCCAUUUUUAACCUGUCUCCUUUCUUUUCUUCCCCUUUUUAA